rnacentral:rRNA from 1 species
CCUACGGGGGGCAGCAGUGAGGAAUAUUGGUCAAUGGCCGGAAGGCUGAACCAGCCAAGCCGCGUGAAGGACGAAGGUGCCAAGCAUUGUAAACUUCUUUUGUCAAGGGACAAAAUCAGGCUCGAGAGCCUGACCGAGGGUACUUGAAGAAAAAGCAUCGGCUAACUCCGUGCCCGCAGCCGCGGUAAUACGGAGGAUGCGAGCGUUAUCCGGAUUUAUUGGGUUUAAAGGGUGAGUGGGAGGGCUGUUAAGUCAGCGGGAAAAGCCCGGGGCUCAACCCCGGCGAGCCGUUGAAACUGGCUGUCUUGAGAUGUCGAGAGGUAUGCGGAAUGCGCAGUGUAGCGGUGAAAUGCUUAGAUAUUGCGCAGAACUCCGAUUGCGAAGGCAGCAUACCGGCGGCGAUCUGACGCUGAGGCACGAAAGCGUGGGUAUCGAACAGGAUUAGAUACCCGAGUAGUC